rnacentral:rRNA from 1 species
CGAGCGGUAAGGCCCCUUCGGGGGUACACGAGCGGCGAACGGGUGAGUAACACGUGAGCAACCUACCCUCAACUUUGGGAUAAGCCUCGGAAACGGGGUCUAAUACCGGAUAAUACCUUUCACCUCAUGGUGGUUGGUUGAAAGUUCUGGCGGUUGGGGAUGGGCUCGCGGCCUAUCAGCUUGUUGGUGGGGUAAUGGCCUACCAAGGCGUCGACGGGUAGCCGGCCUGAGAGGGCGACCGGCCACACUGGGACUGAGACACGGCCCAGACUCCUACGGGAGGCAGCAGUGGGGAAUAUUGCGCAAUGGACGAAAGUCUGACGCAGCAACGCCGCGUGAGGGAUGACGGCCUUCGGGUUGUAAACCUCUUUCAGCAGGGACGAAGCGAGAGUGACGGUACCUGCAGAAGAAGGACCGGCCAACUACGUGCCAGCAGCCGCGGUAAUACGUAGGGUCCGAGCGUUGUCCGGAAUUAUUGGGCGUAAAGGGCUCGUAGGCGGUUCGUCACGUCGGGAGUGAAAACUCGGGGCUUAACCCCGAGCCUGCUUCCGAUACGGGCAGACUAGAGGUAGGCAGGGGAGAGCGGAACUCCUGGUGUAGCGGUGGAAUGCGCAGAUAUCAGGAAGAACACCGGUGGCGAAGGCGGCUCUCUGGGCCUUACCUGACGCUGAGGAGCGAAAGCGUGGGUAGCGAACAGGAUUAGAUACCCUGGUAGUCCACGCCGUAAACGUUGGGCGCUAGGUGUGGGGGACAUUCCACGUCCUCCGUGCCGCAGCUAACGCAUUAAGCGCCCCGCC